rnacentral:lncRNA from 1 species
CUAAAUGAUACCUUGAGGCCCUUUCCAGAUCCACUUCCUAUUACACUUCCUCUGUAGGCUAACAUACGCACAUUUCUGGGAGGGGAAGACCCUGGUUAGAUCAGAAGCUCAGCAGUCAAGUUAAAGAGGACCUGUUUAUGUUUGCUUUCCUGUGGUGUCUCUUCAGUGGUUUGCUUUAGAUGUCUUUGGUGGGAACACCAGAAAGCUGUGCUGCCAUUCAACAAGACCUGGACAGGCCAGUGAGUUGGGUAGAGAGAAACCUGAUGAGGUUGAACAAGGGCAGAUGUAGAGUUUUGCACCUGGGGAGGAAUAACUGCAUGCAUCAGUACAGGUCAGGGGCUGACUCACUGGAGAGGACCUCUGUGGAUAAAGACUUAGGAGUCCUACUGAACAGCAGGUUGACCAUGAGCCAGCAGUGUGCCCUUGUGACCAAGAAGGCCAAUGGGAUCCUGGAGUGCAUUAAAAAGAGCAUGGCCAGCAGGUUGAAGGAGGUGAUCUUCCCCCUCUACUCUGCCCUGGUGAGGCCACAUCUGGAGUGCUGGGUCCAGUUCUGGGCUUCUCAGUUCAAGAAAGACAGGGAGAGAAUACAGUGGAGAGCAACAAAGAUGACGAGGGGCCUGGAACAUCUCCCAUACGAGGAAAGAACAAGAGACCUGGGACUAUUCAGCCUCGAGAAGAGAAGACUGAGGGGAGAUCAAGUGGAUGGGGCCAUGCUCUUUUUGGUGGUGUGCAGCGGCAGGACGAGGAGCAAUGCUCACAAAUUGGAACAAAGAAUAUUCCAUCUGAACACGAGGAAGAAAGUCUUUGAGAGCGACAGAGCACAGGAACAAGUUGCCCAGAGAGGUUGUGGAGUCUUUUUUUCUGGAGAUAUUCAAAACCUGCCUACAUGCUUUCCCAUAUGACUUACCAUGGGGAACAUGCUUUAGCAGGAGGGUUGAGCUAGAUGAUCUCCAGAAGUCCCUUCCAAUCCCUAUGAUUCUGUAAUAUUUCAGCAAUAUCCAGG